CACCUCUAGCAUUACCAGUAUUAGAGGCACUGCCUGCCCAGUGACAUCAGUUUAACGGCCGCGGUAUCCUGACCGUGCAAAGGUAGCAUAAUCAUUUGUUCCUUAAUUAGGGACUUGUAUGAAUGGCCCCACGAGGGUUUAACUGUCUCUUACUUUUAAUCAGUGAAAUUGACCUUCCCGUGAAGAGGCGGGAAUAUUAAAAUAAGACGAGAAGACCCUAUGGAGCUUUAAUUUAUUUGUCCAACAAAAUCCUAAUUUAAUCCAACAGGAACAACAAUAUUUUAACUGGACAACAAAUUUUGGUUGGGGUGACCUCGGAGCAUAACUCAACCUCCGAGCAAUCAAACUAAGACUUACCUGUCAAAGCAACAUCACUUAUUGAUCCAAUCUUAUUGAUCAACGGAACAAGUUACCCUAGGGAUAACAGCGCAAUCCUAUUUAAGAGUUCAUAUCGACAAUAGGGUUUACGACCUCGAUGUUGGAUCAGGACACCCAAAUGGUGCAGCAGCUAAUAAAGGUUCGUUUGUUCAACG
rnacentral:rRNA from 1 species